rnacentral:rRNA from 1 species
UACGUAGGGUGCAAGCGUUGUCCGGAAUUAUUGGGCGUAAAGAGCUCGUAGGCGGUCUGUCGCGUCGGCUGUGAAAACUCGGGGCUCAACUCCGAGCUUGCAGUCGAUACGGGCAGGCUAGAGUUCGGCAGGGGAGACUGGAAUUCCUGGUGUAGCGGUGAAAUGCGUAGAUAUCGGGAGGAACACCAGUGGCGAAGGCGACUUCCUGGCCUGUUCUUGACGCUGAGGCGCGAAAGCUAGGGGAGCAAACGGG